ensembl:lncRNA
GGAUGGAUGGAUAAGGAGAGUUUUGUGUCCAUGCUCACAAAGCUCUCGUGAACAAGCUCUGUUGAAUUUUGCUGUGGCUCUUUGAGGUGUUGCUGGUCUAGUCCUGCUCCACGGCUUGCUUCCCCAUAGCAGAGCCAGCAGAAAGGUUUACUCUGUGAUUGGUCCAGGGCAGCAUCCCCCAGAAGAGCAGCUUGCUGGAGCUCAGCCCUCACCACUGCUCUCCGCUUUUGACAUGGAACGGGCAGACACCAUUUGUGACCGUGCGAAUAUCCUGAGUCACACACUACCAGCUGGCUUUUGUGCUGCAGUUUUCCCUUCUCCCUUUACGACUGCACUCCCUAGAGGAGACCUGAACAAUUGCACUCGUCAGCAGAAGCGCAUGGUGUGCCGUGCCUGGAUGGCACCAUUGGUGGACGACCUCUGGCUGUGUCUGUG